UACGUAGGGGGCUAGCGUUGUCCGGAAUCAUUGGGCGUAAAGCGCGCGUAGGCGGCCCGGUAAGUCCGCUGUGAAAGUCAAAGGCUCAACCUUUGAAUGUCAGCGGAUACUGCCGGGCUAGAGUCCGGAAGAGGCGAGUGGAACUCCUGGUGUAGCGGUGGAAUGCGCAGAUAUCAGGAAGAACACCGGUGGCGAAGGCGGUUCUCUGGGCCUUACCUGACGCUGAGGAGCGAAAGCGUGGGGAGCGAACAGG
rnacentral:rRNA from 1 species